AAUUCUCCUCUUCAUCGCUGUAAUGCCAUGUUCCUGCAUCUGCACCUGCACCGCACUGCCUCACGAGAAUGUGCACGAAUGGAUCAGAGCGGUGUUGUGCAAAUCCUGCUUUCAGUCAAUCACUGAGCUUGAGUUUUAGCAAUUCUUAUUUCCUCUGAACUUUCUUCUGGCAUUAUAGUGGUGGAGGUGCUUAUGCAGAAAUAUUGCAUUGCGGCUGAGAGCCACUAAUG
rnacentral:pre_miRNA from 1 species